AUGGAUCCGGGCGGGAUGCUGCUGGAGGACUUCGGGCUGUGGGUGGACCUGGUGCGGCGCAUCCGCGAGGUGCUGGCCAACUACCCGGAGGGCACCACCGCACUGCGGGACGCCGGGAGCUCAUCCAGAACGCCGACGAUGCCGGGGCCUCUGUACGCCAGCAACGACGCCGCCUUCACCGACGAAGAGUUCGCCAGCAUCCCCCGCAUCGGCGGCCGCAAGAAGUCCUCCCAGGCCUGGAAGACCGGCAGCAAGAUGGGCGCUAGCUACACUCUCUAUCGCUGCUGA
rnacentral:rRNA from 1 species